GCCGGCUUAGCUCAGCCUGCAGAGCGCUCGGCUUUUUGACCACGUGGCCGUGGGGUCGAUUCCCACAGACGUUG